CCUACGGGAGGCAGCAGUGGGGAAUAUUUCACAAUGGGGGAAACCCUGAUGCAGCGACGCCGCGUGAGUGAAGAAGUAUUUCCGUAUGUAAAGCUCUAGCAGCAGGGAAGAAAAUGACGGUACCUGAUUAAGAAGCCCCGGCUAACUACGUGCCAGCAGCCGCGGUAAUACUUAGGGGGCAAGCGUUAUCCGGAAUUACUGGGUGUAGAGGGAGCGUAGACGGUUAAGUAAGUCUGGAGUGAAAGGCCGGGGCCCAACCCCGGGACUGCUCAGGAAACUAUUGAACUUGAGUUCAGGAGAGGUAAGCGGAAUUCCUGGUGUAGCAGUGAAAUGCGUAGAUAUUAGGAGGAACACUAGUGGCGAAGGCGGCUUACUGGACUGUAACUGACGUUGAGGCUCGAAAGCGAGGGGAGCAAACAGGAUUAGAUACCCUAGUAGUC
rnacentral:rRNA from 1 species